CUUAGUCGUGUUUCGUCGGAACAUGAGACCACCAAACGGGGAGGAGGACAAGGCUUAUCAUGUUUAAAAAGCAAAAUGGAAUGAAGGUUCUGUUUUAAAUUGCACCAUAUCAUAGAGACUACGAACGCCGCUGGGCAGACAGUUAAAGAGUCCAUCCGACGCUGCAGUCGGACGACGCUGCAGUCGGACGACGCUGCAGUCGGACGACGCUGCAGUCGGACGACGCUGCGCGAGGACGCG
rnacentral:lncRNA from 1 species